UCUUCCGCAAUGGACGAAGGUCUGACGGAGCAACGCCGCGUGUAUGAUGAAGGUCUUCGGAUUGUAAAGUACUGUCAUUGGGGAAGAACGGUUUUCUUGAAAAUAUUGAGAAGACAUGACGGUACCCAAGGAGGAAGCUCCGGCUAACUACGUGCCAGCAGCCGCGGUAAUACGGAGGGGGCAAGCGUUGUCCGGAAUUUUUGGGCGUAAAGGGCGCGUAGGCGGGCCUUUAAGUCCGGUGUGAAAGAUCAGGGCUCAACCCUGAGAGUGCAUCGGAAACUGAAGGCCUUGAGGACAGGAGAGGACAGUGUAAUUCCACGUGUAGCGGUGAAAUGCGUAGAUCUGUGGAGGAACACCAGUGGCGAAGGCGACUUUCUGGACUGUAACUGACGCUGAGGCGCGA
rnacentral:rRNA from 1 species